UUCCCAAGCAUGUGCCUAAAUACCACAAAUUGCCAAGUGAGAGUGUAGAGAUUGAGAGUGUAGAGAUUAGAGAGAGAGACUAAGGCAUUAAUUGCCAAAUAUUUGAUAAGAUUCACAAAUCUUUAAAAGAUUAGCCAAAUCCUCACAAAUCUUGCAAGCCAAUUCUCUCUCUUCUCCACCCCAUUUUCGGGCAUCUCUCUCUCCCCUUCACCCCUCAUUUCCUCCAUUGUCAACCAUUGGAGAGACCUUCGGAGCUUCCAAAAAUUAUACAAAACACAUCAAUCCACUCCAAAAUCUUGCCUAAACACCUUCAAUCUCCUUGGAUUCAAGAAGAUCAUUGAAGAUCGGCUUCAAGGCUAGAGAGAGAAAGCUUGAUUGUUGGUGUAAAGUUUGGACACGAGCAGAGAAAGGAAGUAAGUAACUCCGCUUUGACGGGAGAUUUUGAGUAAGGUCUUCAGGUGGGCAAUAUUUUGAGUAUACGUAUAUCGUAAGAGCUUUCUAAAAUGAUUUGAUAAUGAUAUUUAUGAGUUUAUCAAAUGUUGAGUUAAAUGAUGUUUGAGAACUGUUUGACUUGCCAAUUUUUGAUGUUGAGCUUGUAUGUUACCAUCUACUGAUGAGAUGAGACGAAUUCGGAUCCUGCUACAAGCGGGGUUGUGUACACAGAGGUGACCGCGAGCCGUCUUCGGGUCGGCCGGUCACGGUACUUGAGAGGGAGGCCUACUUCUCAGUACCUUUGAUGAUGAUAAGUUGUAGAUGUGGUACAUACAUGGUGAGUACUUUGAUAGCGCUAUCGUUUCUUUAUGAUAUCAUGAUUAUGAAAACUGCAUGCACAGAUUCAAUUACGCUAACUUUAUUUCUGUGUAUUGCUGAGAUGCGGCAAGUUUCAAACCUAUAGCUCUAAGAGCACCUUUCUUGUUUUUCGGCGUUUGCCCACUGAGUAUUAUGUACUCACGCCCUGCAUGUAUUUCUAAAUGUGCAGGCUAAGCGGGGAGCGAGAUUGGUCUGGUGCUGGUGGGGAACCGUUUCAAUCGAUGUGAUCAUAUUAAUAUUGCCGUUAUGAUUGAUAGAGUCUUGAUGAUUAAAAAUACUUCGUUUCCUUUCGAAUCAAGUAAUAUACUCACGGUUAUGUGUCUUCAUACAUAUAAUCGGUUCGCCUUUUGCUGCGAUACUCUGCAUAUUAUGCUUCCUUAUGAAAAAUGAGCUAUACACAUUUUGUUUUUGUUCGCGAAAUUCCUGAUAAUUAAAAAGUUAUAACUACGUUGACGAUUUUA